AGCGAACGUUUGCGGCGGGCUUAACACAUGCAAGUCGAACGGGCUGUUCCUUCGGGGGCAGUCAGUGGCGCACGGGUGCGUAACACGUAGGUAAUCAACCCUCUGGUUGGGGAUAACACUUCGAAAGGAGUGCUAAUACCCGGUAUGGCGCAGCGGUCUUCGGAUCGCGGCGAGAAAGACCCGCAAGGGUUGCCAGAGGACGAGCCUGCGGCCCAUCAGCUAGUUGGCGAGGUAACGGCUCACCAAGGCGAAGACGGGUAGCUGGUCUGAGAGGAUGAUCAGCCACACUGGAACUGAGACACGGUCCAGACUCCUACGGGAGGCAGCAGUGGGGAAUAUUGCGCAAUGGGCGAAAGCCUGACGCAGCCACGCCGCGUGAGCGAUGAAGGCCUCGGUUGUAAGU
rnacentral:rRNA from 1 species